CGGAGGUGUUGUAGUAACAGACAGGAGUGACAGAGGUGUUGUAGUAACAGACAGGAGUGAUGGAUGUGUUGUUGUAGUAACAGACAGAUGUGACGGAGGUGUUGUUGUAGUAACAGACAGGAGUGACGGAGGUGUUUCUGUAGUAACAGACAGGAGUGACGGAGGUGUUUCUGUAGUAACAGACAGGAGUGACGGAGUAGUUGUUGUAGUAACAGACAGGACUGACAAAGGUGUUGUUGUAGAAACAGACAGAUGUGACGGAGGUGUUGUUGUAGUAACAGACAGGAGUGAUGGAGGUGUUGUUGUAGUAACAAACAGGAGUGUUCGAGGUGUUGUUGUAGUAAGACAGGAGUGACGGAGGUGUUGUAGUAACAGACAGGAGUGACGGAGGUGUUGUAGUAACAGACAGGAGUGAUGGAGGUGUUGUAGUAACAGACAGGA
ensembl:lncRNA